UCCAAAAUUAUUAAGGUCUAGUUGCUCAAUUUGUAUUGAAUUUCCAUAGGCUUCUGUGGAAAGCAGUGUCACUGAAAUGUGAGAUGUGCCUUUUCACAAAGGAGUCUUGACCAAUCUACUAAAUCGACCACAAUGGCAGGAUCUGCAACAGUGUGUAUCAUCAGUAGAACAUUUUGAGAUAGGAACCAUGGUCCAGUUGCCAAGAUGAUGAGUGCCAGGAGGAUCAGGCAUUAGUGCCAUAGUCAAAGGUGCUUGACCUUUGUUUCUUUUUCAGGAUUUUGGCUGUUGUAAAUCCAGUUUGAAAUGACAUUUGAUAAAAGUUCCAGUGCCCGAUGAAACUGUCAUUGCAUGGAUAUUACAGUUUCUCUGAUUUUUCAAAGGACAUGUUAAGGAAGGGUGAAAUCCCAGAAGAUGCAGCCAGGACUGGCUUCUUCAUCCUUCCUCAGACUUCAGGUAAGGUUGCUGGCCAGUUACCUCUGGGCAGCUGCUGUGAGAAUCAUGUGACUGAAAUGAGGAAGGAGCACUUUCCAGAAGGAAGGGGGGCUGUUCUUGAAACCAAGCUCUGGGGGUAUCUCUAAAGGAAAAGCCUUGAAUCUUGCCUCCUGCAGUAGUGGGGAAUGUGGUCUCUGAGACUGGGUUUCUUGGUAUUGGAUUGCCGUGUUCAAGUUGACAUAUAACCAGAGCCAAGAACUCUGAGAGGCAACCUACCCUGCAGCUGGAAUGCACAACUCUGGGCAUUGGGGAAAGAGGAAAGACCACAGUUGGACAGGGAAGGUGUGCAGCUGGACCAUGUAAGUAAAUGUGAGCAUUGGGAGGAGGAAAGGCUGCAGACCCUGUACUGAAGCCAGGGGUUUCCACUGGGCGGUGAGUGAUGAUUCUUUUUUUGCGGUGCCUGUUGGUAAGUAUCAGAAAGAGAUUUCUGUGAUGAGGAUGAAGUGUGAUAUAUAAGCGCAGUUGGCAUUACUGCUCUCCUUGCUUUGUGCUGUUGGAGCGUGUGGAGCGGGACUUGCCAUGGUGACAGGACUCAUCAAGGGGCAUUAAACAUAUGUCUUGGUGGUCAUAUUCUAGAGGAUUGCUUCUACUUGCACCUGCAUUCCCAACCGUGCACCUUUUUACAGUGUCACCACAUCAGCUGUAGAGGUGAAGGACUGUAACGAGGAAAGCCAAUAGCAAAAGAAUCUCAGAGCACCCUUUCUAUGGGCAACCAUUGGGAAGAGCUAGGAGCACCGACGGUCUGCAGAGGACAUGGGACCAGACACUGUUGAGCAUAACACCAAGCAAGCGUGAAGGAGGUUGUCCUCCCAUAGCUGCUGCUUGCUCAGUUAAGGGUGAGUUCAUUCCAAAUGUCCUGUUAGACUAGACAUUUGACUGUUAGACACAUGACAAUGACAACACCAGAAGAGUACUAUCAGGAAGUAGUGAUCAUGCCAUGUACUGUACGACCCUUCACUGUUAGCAUAUCCAUGUGAACUUGAGAAAGCUUAGGAUUUAGAACAUUACGUCCUUAACAUCUCUAAUCACUGAAACUAGGACUCGGGUUUGGCCCAGACCUGGCCAAGGUCAACCUGUAGUCAAUAU
ensembl:lncRNA